UUUGUACUCCCUCCGUCCCAAAAUUCUUGUCUUAAAUUUUUCUAAAUAUGGAUGUAUCUAGUUACAUUUUAGUGUUAGAUACAUCCGUAUCUAAACAAAUGUAAGACAAGAAUUUUUGGACGGGGGGAAUACUAC
rfam:Triticum aestivum genome assembly, contig: Triticum_aestivum_CS42_TGACv1_scaffold_501037_6BL